rnacentral:piRNA from 1 species
CAGCCUUAGUGGAAGAUGCCCUAGAG